rnacentral:rRNA from 1 species
AGUGAACGCUGGCGGUAGGCCUAACACAUGCAAGUCGAACGGCAGCACAGUAAGAGCUUGCUCUUACGGGUGGCGAGUGUCGGACGGGUGAGGAAUACAUCAGAAUCUACUUUUUCGUGGGGGAUAACGUAGGGAAACUUACGCUAAUACCGCAUACGACCUACGGGUGAAAGCAGGGUCUCUUCGGACCUUGCGCGAUUGAAUGAGCCGAUGUCGGAUUAGCUAGUUGGCGGGGUAAAGGCCCACCAAGGCGACGAUCCGUAGCUGGUCUGAGAGAAUGAUCGGCCACACUGGAAGUGAAGCACGGUCCAGACUCCUACGAGAAGCAGCAAUGGGGAAUAUUCGACAAUGGGCGAAAGCCUGAUCCAGACAUACCGCAUGGGUGAAGGAGCCAUUCGGGUUGUAGAGCCCUUUUGUUGGGAGAGUAAAGCAGUAGGUUUAGGCCCCGCUGAACUGACGGUACCCAAUGAAUAAGCACCGGCUAACUUCGUG